AUUGAACGCUGGCGGCAUGCCUUACACAUGCAAGUCGAACGGCAGCACGGGUGCUUGCACCUGGUGGCGAGUGGCGAACGGGUGAGUAAUACAUCGGAACAUGUCCUGUAGUGGGGGAUAGCCCGGCGAAAGCCGGAUUAAUACCGCAUACGAUCUACGGAUGAAAGCGGGGGACCUUCGGGCCUCGCGCUAUAGGGUUGGCCGAUGGCUGAUUCGCUAGUUGGUGGGGUAAAGGCCUACCAAGGCGACGAUCAGUAGCUGGUCUGAGAGGACGACCAGCCACACUGGGACGAGGACACGGCCCAGACUCCUACGGGAGGCAGCAGUGGGGAAUUUUGGACAAUGGGCGAAAGCCUGAUCCAGCAAUGCCGGGUGUGUGAAGAAGGCCUUCGGGUUGUAAAGCACUUUUGUCCGGAAAGAAAUCCUUGGCUCUAAUACAGUCGGGGGAUGACGGUACCGGAAGAAUAAGCACCGGCUAACUACGU
rnacentral:rRNA from 1 species